UACGAAGGGGGCUAGCGUUGCUCGGAAUCACUGGGCGUAAAGGGUGCGUAGGCGGGUCUUUAAGUCAGGGGUGAAAUCCUGGAGCUCAACUCCAGAACUGCCUUUGAUACUGAAGAUCUUGAGUUCGGGAGAGGUGAGUGGAACUGCGAGUGUAGAGGUGAAAUUCGUAGAUAUUCGCAAGAACACCAGUGGCGAAGGCGGCUUCCUGGACCGACACUGACGCUGAGGCGCGAAAGCUAGGGGAGCAAACAGG
rnacentral:rRNA from 1 species